CGGGAUUACCCGCUGAGU
rnacentral:snRNA from 1 species